GGCAGUUAUGACUCUAUGUCUCCCCUCCCCCACCAGACCCUUUAGAGUCUGUGAUAUUUACAAAACGAAGAUGACAUUUUUUAUAAGGGUAACCACUUCCCUCACUGAGGAAAGUGGUGAGUUUGAUGAGAAUUAGACCCUAUAAUAUCCUGACUCGUACUUCAUUGCAUCAUCAUCUCCAGAAGCCAUUGCCUUGUCUGUGCCAGAUGAUAAUUUGGGCACAGGCACAAAUCAAUACCAGGAAUGGGUGCGCUGGGAGCAUGCACUAAGAUGGCUGAAGACAUCGACACUAGAAGUAAAGUUCUUUGGUCAAACUAAACUCUUGAAAUUUUACCUUCUGAGAGUUUUACCUCAAGAAAAGAAAACAAACAGGGGAAGGAGGAGGAAGAAGAGGAUUGCAACCACAAGUAAAGCCACCAGGAUCACUUACUGGGAGGAUGCCCAUCAGUGUUCCUGAGAAGGUAUGAUGUGUGUUAGUUAAUUUGAGGGAUUUGCAAUGGCUGACAAAAUUACAGUCAUUUUAACAGAGAUUAUAGUCUAGACACCAUAAAAUGAUUAGCAGAGACCCCUGCUUUGAAAAUAUAUUCCUGGAAUUUCUAUGGAAGGAACAAGAUUGUCUGUGGAAAGCCUUCAGGCAUGAAUAAGUCUUUUCGAUAAAUGAUGCUGAAACAUCUGGAUAUCCACACGUAAGGAAUGAAUUUGGAGUCCUAACUCACACCAUAUAUAAAACUUAACUCAAAAUGGAUCAAAGACUUGUAGAAUGCCUAUCUGAGUAUCAGAUACUAGGCUCCGCACGUCUUUGCCUGAAAGCUUUUUUCUAGCCACCAGAGCCAUCUCUGCUGGUGCACAAGGGAAGGCAGAAAUGUCAAGGAAUUAACACUGCCUGCAGAAGCAACCCUCAAAGAAUUAAUGAAGUCCCUGUAUUUUACACAGUAGAAGUUUACUGCAUUUAUUUCCAUGAAGGGUUACACAUGCAGCCCAGGAUUUCAUUUGAAUAAGCCGGAUGUCUGGGAAUGCUGAGCACCAAUGAAUAUGCUAAUCAAUGCAAAACAACUAUAAAAUAUAGUAAAAGGCCCCAGAUGGAACGUCCUGGGUCACUAACACCCAAGUGGUGGCUGUCUCAUCUCUUCGUUAUUCAGCUUCCUCCACUCAGACACAAAUCUUUCUACACUGGAAAAAAGGACCCAACCCACUUAACUUCAUAGCAGAAAUUUUUCUCCUUGAAAAAUUACUUGAGCUAGAAGAAUUUCCAUCUGGGAAAGGAAAUCCAUCAGUUGGAAAUUCUAACAAGGUUCAAGUAAACACCUACUGUGACAUUCAAAAGGAAAAUGUUUCACAGGUAUAGAUAGGAAAAGGAAGUAUUUGGCUGAGAAGCAACUGAGACUGUUCACAUACACAGUACUAAUCUUGAUGCCAGUAACAGUCUAGAGCUAUCUCAAAAUCUUUAUGGCUAUUGUUGACUUCUGGAUUUGAUCACCCAUUAAAGUUCUAAAUUUGAUCACCCAUUUAUAUCCUAUAAUAAAUGGCAUACUGCUACUUAUGUUUUAAUAUGAUAAAAUACAUAGAACAUAAAAUUGACCAUUUUGACCAUUUUUAAGUGUACACAGAAUGAUCAUCCACUACUACCACUACCUCUUUAGUUCAAAAAUGUCAUUAUUUCCCAUUGCUUUUAGGAUAAAGUCAAAGUUCACUAGCAUUGCCUAUGAGGCCCCACAUGAUGUAGCUCUCUGCCCCUCUUCCCAGACUCAUUCCAUUCCAAGUUCCACCUCCAUUUUGGCAUUCUACCCACAUUGCCCUUCAGCGUCUUUCUGUUUACUCUUUCCACAGGGCCUUUCCAACAAUGUUCCCUUUCUUUGGAAUGUCCUUCCUUCCUCCCUGCACAUAGCUGAUUUCUACUCACCAUUCAGGUUUCAUUUCAAGCAAUACUUCUCGGACAUGUCUUCCUGGAAGAUGUUCUGACCCUAAUUUCUGACUUUGCAGAUGUGCAAAUUUACAUACACUGAGGCAAUUAUUUGAAGAUAUCUGCCAUGCUCAGAAACUGUUAAUAUCACUGUUGAAACGUCAUUUUAUCUUUAGUGCAGGGUUUCAUAACCUCAGAACUAUCAACAUUUUGGCGAGAUAAUUUGUUGUGGGAGGUUGUCCAAAGCUUUACAGGAUGCUUAACAGCUUCCUUGAUCUCUAACAGUUGGAUCCUAAUAGUAGCCUCCCCCUUCCCUCUUUGUGACAACCAAAAAUUCUUCCAGUCAUUAUCAAAAUGUCCCUUGUGGCAAAAUUACCCCCAUUUCAGAAACACUGUUAUAGGGCACAGCAUAGAGCUUAACACUUAGGACAUUUAAAAAAUAUAUUAUGGGAAAUAAACAGAAAUUUGCUUUGUUUCUGCCUAUCUUUGUUUCUCUCAAACAUUUAGCUAGGCUUCCUAUGCUUACCAAUAAAUAGAAUGAAUCAUAACUACAAUAGAAUUUGAAAGAAGGAGGGGAAAAGCUACAUAAAUUACUUUUCAGAUAUAUGUCCCUGGCAUCUAUAGAAAUUUAUUAGGGAACAUGUGUAGGUAAAGAGCAAAAGAGAAGCCAAACCCACUGUCUAGGCAUUUUAUAUGGAGGCACACUUGACAGGCAAGUGUGAAUAUACUGUGGAUUAUGAUCCAAGACAGAGGUCUCAUACCUCUGCUGCCAUUUUUUUUUUUUUUUUUUACAUUUACAGGAGUGUUCGUUGCUAUUUGGUUAGGUGAAAUGACUUCCAGUUUAAGCUUCUGUCACCUACAAGUUUGUAUAUAAGCACCAAGUUUGAGGAGAAGUCUUAAAUCCACUGCUGGUGACCAAGCUCAUUGCUGAUGCCCCAAGACACAAAAUAGAAAGGGGACUGGAAAAGGAGUACAUCCAGGUUAAUCAGCAGAAUAAAAGAUUUAAUCUCCCCUCCUGGACGAAUGGCUAUUUCUCUCUUUCACCUGGGCAUUCAACUCCCUGACCCAUUAAAAUGGGCCUAGAAAGCAUUUGUUUCUCCCCAAGGACGUUGGUAGAUUAGACUUUUCAAAGACUGCCAAAAACUUGAUUGGGUUUGGAAGGCUUCUUUCUCUCUGUUAUGCAUAUGGUUUACUGUGAGCCUGUCUGUAUUCCCUCACUUGGGGCAGUGUGUUUGUAUGUUUGUGCGUAAAAUGUGUAUUUAUACAUCUUGUGGUCUCCUUAUUGUUUCUUGUAUCUAAACAAGAAUUAGUGAGUGAUCUAAUUCUGAAAUAUUCUCUACAAAUGCAAUUUUAGUGGCUUGGAGUAAAUAUAUAAUUUAAAUGUGUAUACUUAAGAAAUGCCAGCUUCUCUCCAGGCU